rnacentral:rRNA from 1 species
AUGUACUCUGAUUCAGCCAGGACAUCACACGACCGUGCUCUGUUUCUUCUCAUGUCCAGCUUGAUUCGAGCUUCCUGGACAGCCACAAGGCAUGCCUUGUCCACCAUUGAGCAGAAUGCCGCUGGUGGCCAUCGGCGACAGAGUGCCAUCUCAGCGGACAAGGGAGUAUCAAGCAAGACAUCAUCAUCAUCAAGCGAGCAUGGAAGUUUUUCCUACAAGAGGUGUCCAUGGGCAACAUCCUCAGCGCAAAGCUUGGCUAGGCCCCGGCCAGGCAGGCCUCUCUCCGCGUCGCCUGCCCAACACGGUACCCUGCACCACUGUCAACAAAGUCUGCUCAUCGGGGAUGAAGGGUAUCCAUAUUUCAUCUCUUCACCUGCAAUGUCUCCGUAG